CCUACGGGWGGCWGCAGUAGGGAAUCUUCCGCAAUGGACGAAAGUCUGACGGAGCAACGCCGCGUGAGUGAUGAAGGUUUUCGGAUCGUAAAGCUCUGUUGUUAGGGAAGAACAAGUACCGUUCGAAUAGGGCGGUACCUUGACGGUACCUAACCAGAAAGCCACGGCUAACUACGUGCCAGCAGCCGCGGUAAUACGUAGGUGGCAAGCGUUGUCCGGAAUUAUUGGGCGUAAAGGGCUCGCAGGCGGUUUCUUAAGUCUGAUGUGAAAGCCCCCGGCUCAACCGGGGAGGGUCAUUGGAAACUGGGGAACUUGAGUGCAGAAGAGGAGAGUGGAAUUCCACGUGUAGCGGUGAAAUGCGUAGAGAUGUGGAGGAACACCAGUGGCGAAGGCGACUCUCUGGUCUGUAACUGACGCUGAGGAGCGAAAGCGUGGGGAGCGAACAGGAUUAGAUACCCCCG
rnacentral:rRNA from 1 species